rnacentral:rRNA from 1 species
ACCUUACCUGGUCUUGACAUCCACAGAACUUAGCAGAGAUGCUUUGGUGCCUUCGGGAACUGUGAGACAGGUGCUGCAUGGCUGUCGUCAGCUCGUGUUGUGAAAUGUUGGGUUAAGUCCCGCAACGAGCGCAACCCUUAUCCUUUGUUGCCAGCGGUCCGGCCGGGAACUCAAAGGAGACUGCCAGUGAUAAACUGGAGGAAGGUGGGGAUGACGUCAAGUCAUCAUGGCCCUUACGACCAGGGCUACACACGUGCUACAAUGGCGCAUACAAAGAGAAGCGACCUCGCGAGAGCAAGCGGACCUCAUAAAGUGCGUCGUAGUCCGGAUUGGAGUCUGCAACUCGACUCCAUGAAGUCGGAAUCGCUAGUAAUCGUGAAUC